ensembl:lncRNA
GAGAAAACAACAAACAAGCAAAACCCAACAUGUAUUUAUCAUUUUCAUUUCCAGUGUAUCAGAAAAUCUGUGACACAGAAGCAGAUUUUCCCAAUCUUUUCUCUGCUAUGAACAAUUAUUGUGAAUUCCAAAGCAUAUUUGGGGAUGACACCCACCCAAACUCAUCCGACCUUUCUUUAUGAGAAUUCUGGCUACUCAAGUAUGUAGAUUACUCAAAAAAUAAUGUUUCCCAUUUAUUUCUAUGGAAUCUACACAAGAUACGCAGUAACACUAUCUGAUAGAGCAAAUUCUCAGAUACAAAACACUGUUUUUCAAUGUAGUGACCUCCAUCUUGUAUGUAUGUAUCUUGUAUGUAUGCCACUGAUGAGCAAGAGCUUACAUGCCACGCUCAUAAAAAUCUGCACCAGAGGAGGGCACCCAUUGUUUCACAGCUUCUGUGAUGACAUUGUUACUAGGAAAAUGUUGUCCACACAGUCCAUCUUUCAUUGGCAUGAACAGAUGGAAAUCAAAAGAUGCCAAAUCUGGACCAUGUGGAGGCGUGGUUGGAUGGUCCAGCCAAGACUGGCAGUGUGCUCCAGGGUCUUCCAUCUGAUAUGGGUCCUGAUGUCAUUGUGUUGCAGGAUAAGGAUUGUCUGCUUCUCUGGCCUAACUCUAUAUGUGUGAACCUUCAGCUAAGGCAGCAUCAUGACAUAGUGGUCAGAACUGAUGGUUUGUCCAAGUUCCAGGAAAUCCAGAAGGAUCACCAUUUUCUAUCUCAAAAGACAGUGCACAUCACUUUACCCACUGAGGGCUGUCUUGAACUUUUUAUUUGAUGGGGAAUUCACAUGUUGCCACACAUGGACUGCCAUUUUGACUCUGGCUAGUAGUGGUGACAUCAUGUCUUAUCACCAGUACUGAUGUGAUUUAGGAAACUGUCACCUUCAGCAUCAUAUUAUUGGAAUAGAUCCUGGCAAACUUGCAUAUGGUGUUCUUUCUGUUCUUAUGUGAACAUUCAUGGGACCCACCCGGCACAAGCUUUGCAAUACUCUUAACGUUGUCACUAGUGUUUCCAACUCACUGAGGCUGACAUUCAUCUUUGUACAAAGCCCCCAGCAUAAUAAUAAUAAUAAAAGUGGGCCAAGAUAAUAAAAUAGGAGGCAUUACUUUCAGGGCAGCCCUUCUGUAAUAAGCUUAAAAAAUUAUAAUCUGAAUUCUUGAUUCUCAUCAGUAGAAGGUAAUCUUGACACAAACAUGUUACCCACACACAGUGAUGACUAUGACAACAUUUUUUUUUCACCUCUAGAAAUACGUGUCCUUAAUCAGCCUUGUGUUAAUACAGCGUCAAGGCAAGCACUAUCCAUGCCCUGAGCCAUGUAUCAAUAGAAAAAGAAGCAGAAUAAAGACAAUGUGAUUUCAAGACUUAUUUUCAGGGCAGUCUACAUACGGUAUGAACACAGAGGAACCAGUCAGUCUGCAUUUAAAUAGUUAAUUACAGAUAUUAAUGUCUACUCUGCUGUAUUAGAAAAAUAAAUGUAAUGGCUUUUCCUGCCAGGAGGGUGCUUCACAUAAUGGAUUGCUUUGCUGAUGUGACUAAAUACCUUUCUGAUAUUGAUCCACACAGAGGAGGAGAGAAAACCUAAGAAAACUCUUGAAGGUAUUAUAAAGCAGCCAGGGAGACAGAUCAGGGUUGUGGCAGCAGAACAGAAUUUAUGCAUUCAGAAUUGAUGCAAAAAGCACUUCUGAAACUGCCAAGUCUUUCCAGGAAGAGCCGACAGACAGACAGAGGAACUGUUUCUUCAUCUUGUAUGUGUCCUCAGCUCCACAUGUCCUGGAACAGACGGUUUAUUCCUUGCAUGCUGUGACCAAGGGAAGGUCUCCUCUUCUAUUCAGAUCUUCGGAGCAUAUUUUAGUAAUCCCUCACCUGGACAUGCUUGCUGUUAGGUGGUGCUAAGCCUCUGGAACAUGUUUGCAGAAGAGGAAACUCCAGUCUGGAUACAGCUACCCUUGCUCAUUUAUCCCCACCUGCAUCCCAGCGUUCUACAGGCUGAAAGGAGUGAGGGAAGAGUACGAAGAAAAUGUUGGGAGAUCAUCAGACAAAAGGUCCUGAGCAGUUCGAGAUCUACUCGCCCUAAAGCCCUGAAGACCUCAUCCAGCUGGCUAUCAAGAAAAACCCACUAUAGAGUUGAAUUUAAUGGGGAAAUAUAAAAGAGAAGAUUAAAGAAGACAUACCAUGUGUGUGGAGCUGUAAAAACCAGAAGAAAGACUCUGUGAUUUUGCAGAAAUCUCUCCCUUUGAACCAAAUAAUCUUUCACUGAAGGUCCAGAGGCUUGGUAAAGUUGCAUGGAAGAUAGCAAUGUCUACUUUCAUCCUGUGAAUCUGCACCAAUCUGCUUGCAAACAUUUUUCACAAGACUUCUGUUAAGUCCAGGUGUUUCCUUCUUCCAUAUGAUUGUUAUUCAUAGAUGCAAUGGACAGACACCAGACACAUUGAUCCAUCCCUACAGUGUAUGGGUGGAUGCAAGACUUUUGUGCUAGUUCUGAGCUGCAUAUCCACUUAGCAUCCUGCUGAAAUUCUAGGCUGACUCUAAAGAUGUUCUUGACCAGCUGGUUGGCUUCAUGUUUCUAUAUGUUGCGACUACACUGAACCUGGUUAUGAGAAAAAAAACAACAAAAACAGAGAGGAAGGGAAGAUGGGGAAGAUGUCCCUUCUAGGAAAAGUAAAUCUGAUCCAGAGCACUGCUGUCUAGGAAAGUAAAGCCAAAGUCUUGUCCCAAUUCACAAAGCCAUGCUUCCUGAAAUAGCUGCUAUGCUGUCUGAGUGGCAGGAAUGUGCUGCGCUGUGUGAUGGAAGAGGCAGCCAAGGAAAGCAGAACAGGAUGACUUAAAAUGAAGUUGACUUACCUACUCCUGUGGCCAUGUCUGAUCCCACAUUUGAUCUGUUUCUACUAUCGUGCUACAUCAUCCUUGAGGAACUCUUGAUUCCAUUAAAGAAUUAUAGAAUCACUGACGUUGGAAAAGGUCUUCUAAUUCAACCAUCCACCUCCCACCAAUACUGCCCACUAAACCAUGUCUGCAGGAUGUCACUUGCAGAUGGAGAAGAUCAGGCAGAUACAAAUUCUAAUGAAAACGUGAGCCUGGUUGUGAAUACUCUCACACUCAUCACCAACAAGAGACCUCUCCUUGGUUCAUAAUGCGCAUCCGGAUUACAAUUCAAACUGGAAAUACACAGAGGAGGUCACUGCAACAACCCAGGUGUUUGUAUGAUUGCCAGAUUUCCAAGAAGGGGAGGAACAUUUAAAAUUGAUUGUUUUGGGUAUAUCUUGCUCUUGAGUAGGUGUUCAGUAUCAGUAUUGUAAAGGCUUUUUUUUUUUUUUUCUUUUUUUUUUUUUUCCAG